rnacentral:rRNA from 1 species
GAUCUGUUUAUUCUGCAGGCGAGGUUAACCCAAAAGGGAAGCCAAAGGGAAACCAACAAGUCCGUAGCCUCCGGGCAUGGGACGGCGUAUUAAAAGUGCGUGGAGUCUGCAGGAUAAGACCCGAAGCCUAGCGAUCUAUGCGUGGGCAGGUCGAAGCGUGCUGAAAGGCGCGUGGAGGACCGCAAACGGUUUUGAUAUGCAAAUCAUUCGCGUGACCUGCGUAUAGGAGUGAAAGAUUAAUCGAGCUGGGCAUCCGCUGGUUCCUCUCGAAACAUGCCGUAGCAUGACCUGGCCGGAGAUAGACGGUGAGGUAGAGCACUGAUUGGGGGAGCUGGGGGAGAAAUCCCUCACCCCCCUGUCAAACUCCAAAUUCCCCGUCGUCGAAGAUGGCCGGCAGUCCGGACUACGGGGUAAGCUUGUAGUCCGUAAGGGAGACAACCCAGACCGUGGUUAAUGUCCCUCAAUGUAGGCUCAGUGUCAACACUGAAAGGCGUCCCAGGCCAAAGACAACUGGAAGGUGAGCUCAGAAGCAGCUAUCCUUUAAAAAGUGUGUAACAACUUACCUGCCGAGCGUGGUGGCCUCGAAAAUGGACGGGGCUAAAGCAUAGUACCGAUACUUUGGAUACUUGCCUUAGGGCAAGUCAUGGUAGGUUGGCGUAGUGAUUGGGUCGAAGCAGGGUCGUAAGGUCCUGUGGACCGAUUGCUAUUGCAGAUCUUGGUAGCAGUAACAGCAUAGUAAGGUGAGAAUCCUUACCUUCGCAAGUGCAAGGGUUUCCAGGCAAUGCGUCAUCAGCCUGGAGUUAGUCGGUCCUAAGAAUAAUCUCAACAGAAUUAUUCGAAAGGGAAACUGGUUAAUAUUCCAGUACCCGACAGUGAGCGUUAUCAUCUAUAUGAUCGCUUUAAGAUAAGGCAAGUACAACCGUCGUUGUAUCUAACUUUUCGAGAUUUGGGGAGUGUCGUAAUGACGAGAACCAAUUCGAGUGGGGAAUGGCUUGGCGUUAGCUGAGUUUGUCUGAGUCUUGGGGACCGUGAAAAAUCAUGUAGAGAGCAAUCUGUCGUGACCGUACCGAGAUCCGACACAGGUGCACUGGAUGAGAAGUCCAAGAAGUAUCGGGUAUACCGUAGGCGAGGGAACUCGACAAAUUAGUCCUGUACCUUCGGUAUAAGGGAUGCCUGCAAUCCUAAUGAGAAAUUGGGAUAGCAGGUUGCAAUGACAAGGGGGUUCCGACUGUUUAAUAAAAACACAGGUGACUGCUAGUCCGAAAGGAUGUGUAUAGUCACUGAAUCCUGGCCGGUGCUGGUACCUAAAACUUGGGUUCAACCGAGCUAAGGGCCAGUUAACGCCGGGAGUAACUCUGACUCUCUUAAGGUAGCCAAAUCCCUCGUCAUCUAAGUAGUGACGCGCAUGAAUGGAUUAACGAGAUUCCCACUGUCCCUACCUACUAUCUAGCGAAACCACAGCCAAGGGAACGGGCUUGGCAGAAUCAGCGGGGAAAGAAGACCCUGUUGAGCUUGACUCUAGUCCGACUUUGUGAAAUGACUUGAGAGGUGUAGAAUAAGUGGGAGCUUCGGCGCAAGUGAAAUACCACUACUUUUAACGUUAUUUUACUUAAUCCGUGAGGUGGAGGCGGGGCUCUGCCCCUUCUUCUGGCCUUAAGGCCGGCUCCGGCCGGCCGAUCCAGGCGGAUGACAUUGUCAGGUGGGGAGUUUGGCUGGGGC